UUAGGUUAGGCAGAUAAAUUUCUGUUACCAUGUAAUAUAUAUACUCUAUAAACAAUACAUAAUACAUUCGUUUCUUUUAUAAGAGUUAAUUUAAUAUUGUUGAAUCCCACAAAGAUGAUGACAUUUCAAACCACAGUACAUUACAUUGAUGCAAGUAGAGAGAGAUGGAUGAAGAUCUCUAAUCACCUGUAAUUGCAAAUGGAAAUACUACUAAAUAAAUAUCUCUCGGCUACAUAAAAGAUAUUUCAAACCUCCCAUAAAGGCCUCUCAUCCCCAUGGGCCACUGCAUAAGCCACACUUCAAUUGCUUUUCUUCUAUGUACAUAUACAAUUUAAUAUUCCCUUUGAUUUUUCAACAACUCCCCUCAUUUGCUUACUAUAUUCUUUUCUUCUUUAUUAUUAUCGAUGGCUUCAUUUGGAUUUGACACCUAACUACUUCCAGUCCCAAACAUAAUAUUCAAAACAAAAUAAGCCCAAUUAAUCAAUCUUAGUUCCAUACAUUCAUCAAUAUUCACAAUUUACACAUAUCAUAUCCCAAGCGUCGGUGCCUUUCGGCUUUCCGUACACUUCAAGACACUCCAAUUUUUCUUUUUUUUUUUUAAAUCAGACAAAAUAUAACCCAGAUAUUACAAAUUAAACACUUUUUUUUCCAUUUCUGAUCAAACCCACCUCCGGCGAUCAAACCGGAUUAGGCAGCAACCCGUCGAGUUGUCAGAUGGCGAAGUGGCGAUUGAACUCCGGUAGAAACCAGAAUCUGGGUGGUGGUGGAAGAGGUAGGUGAUUUUGAAGAAGGAGAGGCGUCGGAUUGGAAUUGAAAUCGGCCGGAAUCACCACUGGGAAGUCUGAUGUAGGACGUGGAAGGGGAAUCGCAAAGCCAAGAUCGGAUGGCGGGUACUUGUUUUUCGUUCUUGUAUUGAACAAUAGCUUUGUAAACAAAUGGAAUUAGACCUUCCAUUUUGCGAGACAGAGGAGGGGAGAAAAAAAGGAAGAGAGAGAGAGAGAGAGAGAGAUUUAAAAUUCGAAAGUUGAAGGGAAAAUGGAAGAGAGGGGAUUGGUUUAAAAUGGAAGAGAAGGGUUGUGAUGACGUGGCGUAAUAGUUAGGAGGCCAGCUGUUUACGCUAAGCCACGUAAGAUUAAGACAAAGAAAUAAAUCGAGAGGGCAUUGGUAAAAGUAAUAUUGAAAGCUCUAUCAUAACUACAACCCUUAUCCUCUCCCCCAAUAUUAUCCCACUUCCACCAAAUCUUACUCUAAUCUUCAAUUUGACUUCUUUUUUAAUUAAUCAUAUGCUUUGUUUUUUAUUAUUAUUUGCUUAAAACUUGGAUUUUAAAAUAUAAUAAAGUGGAAAAUUGUUUUGGUGAUUUAAAAAGAAGUGAAGCAAUGGACUUUAAUUGGAAAAAGAAACAUGUGGGCGUUUCUAGUUUUUAGGGUUUUAGGGUUGUUUUUCUUUAUUAAAAAACAAACAAAACAAAAUGGAGGGUUUGGAGGAAG
rnacentral:lncRNA from 1 species